GCGGUCGUGGCGGAAUUGGUAGACGCGCAGCGUUGAGGUCGCUGUGAGGCAUCUCGUGGAAGUUCGAGUCUUCUCGACCGCA
rnacentral:tRNA from 1 species